rnacentral:rRNA from 1 species
GAAACAGGUGCUAAUACCGGAUAUGAGACGUGACCGCAUGGUGACGUUUGGAAAGAAUAUCGGUCAGGGAUGAGCUCGCGGCCUAUCAGCUUGUUGGUGAGGUAAUGGCUCACCAAGGCGUCGACGGGUAGCCGGCCUGAGAGGGUGACCGGCCACACUGGGACUGAGACACGGCCCAGACUCCUACGGGAGGCAGCAGUGGGGAAUAUUGCACAAUGGGCGAAAGCCUGAUGCAGCAACGCCGCGUGAGGGACGACGGCCUUCGGGUUGUAAACCUCUUUCUAGUCAGGGAAGAAGCGAAAGUGACGGUACCUGCAGAAGAAAGCAGCCGGCUAACUACGUGCCAGCAGCCGCGGUAAUACGUAGGGUCGCAAGCGUUAUCCGGAAUUAUUGGGCGUAAAGAGCUCGUAGGCGGUUUGUCGCGUCUGUCUGUGAAAGAUCUCGGAGGCUCAACCUCGCGAGUCCUGCAGUGGGUACGGGCAGACUAGAGUGCGGUAGGGGAGACUUGGAAUUCCUGGUGUAGCGGUGGAAUGCGCAGAUAUCAGGAGGAACACCGAUGGCGAAGGCAGAUCUCUGGGCCGUAACUGACGCUGAGGAGCGAAAGCGAGUGGGGAGCAAACAGGACUUAGAUACCCUGGUAGUCCACCCCGUAAACGUUGGGCAACUAGUUGUGGGGUCCAUUCCACGGAUUCCGUGACGCAGCUAACGCAUUAAGUUCCCCGCCUGGGGAGUACGGCCGCAAGGCUAAAACUCAAAGGAAUUGACGGGGACCCGCACAAGCGGCGGAGCAUGCGGAUUAAUUCGAUGCAACGCGAAGAACCUUACCAAGGCUUGACAUAUACUGAGAACGGGCUAGAAAUAGUCAACUCUUUGGACACUCGUACACAGGUGGUGCAUG